UUUGAAGGGAUAGGGUCGGUUUGGCCGGAUUUCACACAGGUGUUGCAUGGCUGUCGUCAGCUCGUGUCGUGAGAUGUUGGGUUAAGUCCCGCAACGAGCGCAACCCUCAUCCUUAGUUACCAUCAGGUUAUGCUGGGGACUUUAAGGAAACUGCCAGUGAUAAACUGGAGGAAGGUGGGGAUGAUGUCAAGUCAUCAUGGCCCUUAUGGAGUGGGCUACACACGUGCUACAAUGGUGAUUACAAUGGGCUGCAAGGUCGCAAGGCUGAGCUAAUCCUAAAAAAUCAUCUCAGUUCGGAUUGUUCUCUGCAACUCGAGAGCAUGAAGUUGGAAUCGCUAGUAAUCGUGGAUCAGCAUGCCACGGUGAAUACGUUCUCGGGUCUUGUACACACUGCCCGUCACGCCAUGGGAAUUG
rnacentral:rRNA from 1 species